CACGUGAGUCCGGUGUCAGCCCGGCCGCGGCUGCCGACACCUCCGCACCGCCCCGGGAGCUGGAACCCCGCUCGGGCUGCUGCCUCCUCGGCUCGCUGGAGCACACCUCGCGCGUGGUGCUCCUGGAUCCCCUCUGUGCCUGCUGAGGGCCGGGCUUGGAGAAGCGGCACCAGGGGUGACGGUGGUGGCGGGACCCUGCACCGACCCGAAGAGGAGGAGGAUCUCCCGUGGGAACGCUGGUGGUUUUGGGACGGUACCAGCUCCUUCGUGCCGGUGGAGACCUGUAGCUGGGGAAAAGCUCUGGAGCUGCUCGCCAAGGGGCAGCACAGCCUCAGGGAUGUGUGCACAGGGGACAAACUCCUGUCUGGGGGUGUUCCUGGCACGGCUGGCAGUGGGAUGUGGAGACUGCCAGCUCUGCUUUCUGGAAGGACAAAGGAACCUGUCUUCCCAGGCUUGGCCAGUUUUGGACAGUCUGUUGAGAAGGAGAGAAGAGCCUCCUGCAGGCUCAAGCCCUUCCCAGGGGUUCCAUCCCUGCCCCAGCUGCUGCAUUCCAGGGCUGAGUGCAAUUCCAGGAGCUGCAGCAAUGCCUUCAGCAAAGGAAAAGCUCAGGGGAAUGAGGGGAGCUCCGAGCACGGAGGACUUCCAAAGCCGGGGAAUCAGGACCUUCUCAGAUCUCUUGGCAGUUUCUCCCUCUGGUUUGGGACAGAUGUCGGUGUCCCUGCCGCUCGGGAACGGGAGGUGGAUUCUCAUCUCACACGCGUGCAGACGUGUCCUGCCCCGCAGCACCUUUGGGCACAAGUCGCUGUCAGUAGGUUCAGUGCCUGGACAGUUUUUGUCCUGGUUUGUGUCGCCCCUGCCAUGUGAAAUAAACCUCUGGAUCUCUGCAGUGCCUCCAGAUCUGUCCGGA